rnacentral:rRNA from 1 species
GACGAAGGACCCGAGCGUUAUCCGGAUUCAUUGGGUUUAAAGGGUGCGUAGGUGGAUUGAUAAGUCAGUGGUGAAAUCUCCGGGCUCAACCUGGAAACUGCCAUUGAUACUAUUAGUCUUGAAUUCUGUUGAGGUGGGCGGAAUAAAUCAUGUAGCGGUGAAAUGCAUAGAUAUGAUUUAGAACACCAAUUGCGAAGGCAGCUCGCUAAACAGAUAUUGACGCUGAGGCACGAAAGCGUGGGGAUCAAACAGG